UACAGAGGUCCCGAGCGUUGUUCGGAUUCACUGGGCGUAAAGGGUGCGUAGGUGGCCUAAAAAGUUUGAUGUGAAAGCUCAGGGCUUAACCCUGAAAUGGCAUUGAAUACUGUUGGGCUGGAGGUUUGGAGGGGGGACUGGAAUUCUUGGUGUAGCAGUGAAAUGCGUAGAUAUCAAGAGGAACACCAGUGGCGAAGGCGAGUCCCUGGACAACACCUGACACUGAGGCACGAAGGCCGGGGGAGCAAACAGG
rnacentral:rRNA from 1 species